rnacentral:rRNA from 1 species
UACAGAGGGUGCAAGCGUUAAUCGGAAUUACUGGGCGUAAAGCGCACGCAGGCGGUUGGACAAGUUAGAUGUGAAAGCCCCCGGCUCAACCUGGGAAUUGCAUUUAAAACUGUCCAGCUAGAGUCUUGUAGAGGGGGGUAGAAUUCCAGGUGUAGCGGUGAAAUGCGUAGAGAUCUGGAGGAAUACCGGUGGCGAAGGCGGCCCCCUGGAUAAAGACUGACGCUCAGGUGCGAAAGCGUGGGGAGCAAACAGG